rnacentral:lncRNA from 1 species
UCAGACUUCUUCUAUCCGUUCGUCUCUUCUUCACUUUCACUUCUCAGACUUCAUCUCCUUCUUCUUCCUUUGAGAGCUUCUUCUUCUUCAAACAGAGUUUCUUCUUUUUUUUUUCUUCAUCCUCUCUCCCAUUUAAUUAUAUUAAAUUUAUAGUCUGCCUAUUUUUUUUCGUUCGCAGAUUUAGUCUCUUUGAGCCGCCGGAAAAAUAGGUCGACUAAAUAUAGUCCAUCUGCUGGAGUAAAAUUAGUUUCCUAGACUAAAUAUAGUCUACGAAUUUGGAGAAACUAGAAGAGUACUAGAAGAGUGCGAAUGGAGAAACUUCGAUGUCAGAGGAUCGGCUGCGAUGUCACGUUUACCGAAGACGAUAACCCUGAAGACUCCUGUACUUAUCACGAUUCGGUCUGUUUCUUUCUCUCUCUCUCUCUUCGUUUUUUUGGGGUGACCUUUAACUGCUCAGUGUCUGCCCUAGAUCACUCUCUGCCUUUUACGUUACUAAUACUCUUAUACUAACUUACGAUAACCCUGAAGUUUUCUAUUUUGAGGUUAAUUUGCCAAAUUUUCUGAAAUUUAAAAUUUAUGUGAUUCAUGUAAAUCUUUUAAAACUAUUUUUAUUUUUUAUAAUGUAGUACUCUCCAGGAUUAAUAUCAAUUUUGAAGUUUGAAUUUUGCAAAUUGACUUGUGAAGGUACUUCUCUCAUGGGAGCUUAGGGAGUCAUUUUUUUAUAAGAUUCAAAUCAAUUUGGAAGUUUAGGAAUUUGCAAAUUCACUUUAAAUGUCAAAUGACAGAGUCAUUGUUUUUAUAUCGACUUUAAAUGUCAAAUGGCAGUCAUUGUUUUUAUCUUUUGGUGGUGCAGUGGGCUAAUUUUUGGUUUGAUUGGCUGUAAAUAUUACAUUAUCAUCAGUUAUUUCCAGUUAAGGUUUAAUGUCAUAGGAUACUGUGUACCUUCCUUCUCUGGGGCAGUAUAUUAAAUUUGGUGUAUAUGUGUACUCUCAUCUCUUACCAUUCACAAAGUGAAGUUCUUUUUCCUCUUAAAUUUCAUUUGAUGUAGAAGAUUGAUUGCUGUUGGGCUUUUUUCCUUUUAAUUUUUAUGAUCCAACCUUCAAAUGGAAUAUUUUCUAUAAUUCUAGAUAUUCUUUUUGAUUAGUAAGAAUUCAUUCAUAAAGACCAAGGCGGUGCUUCCCAUGUACAAUACAAUUAUAGUUACAGGAAAAAGGUCUUGUCACCAAGAAACACUAUCAAGAUCAUGUUCCAAUGCUAAACUCUGACAAUAAAUCAACAGAAGCAAUAAUUGAUCCUACAUACCUACCAUUUGGUGUGCGCAAGUGACUGUUCCUAAUACUUAAAAUACCUACCAUACUUCAAGAUAAAAGGACUAGCAUGGAGUAGAUGAGGCAANNNNNNNNNNNNNNNNNNNNNNNNNNNNNNNNNNNNNNNNNNNNNNNNNNNNNNNNNNNNNNNNNNNNNNNNNNNNNNNNNNNNNNNNNNNNNNNNNNNNGAUUGGAGGGCUACACUUUUUUAAUUGUUGUUUUUUAGUCCGUUGAGGGUGGACUUCUUGUUCCCUCCUUUUAUUGUAUCCUUUCUUUUCUAUUAAUAAAAUUUAUCCUUUUAUAAAAAAACCUUUUUUUUAUGAAAGGAUUUAUAUUUUAUGGUGUGCAUUAUGAAUUAGAGCAACUUGAUUCGGUGAUUAUACACUUUGGCACUCUUUCCUUUUUUAAACAUUAGGUGUUCUGGUGUCUUUAUCUUCCUUUUACAAGUAUAUAUUGUAGAAUGUUAUAGAAUGUGUUUACUAACUGAGUUUCCAUUUUGCAUUAUCUUCAUUUCACCGGCUGCGGAUAUUUAUGUCAUCAGGGAGUAAGUUUCAAAUUCAUAUUUCUUCAUAUUUCUACCAGUUACGUUGUCUAUAGUUGUUGAAAUACUAAAGCAUAUACUUUGCAGCCUCUAUUUCAUGAUGGGAUGAAAGAGUGGAGCUGUUGCAAGAAGCGAAGUCAUGAUUUCAGCCUUUUUCUAGAAAUCCC